GACGUAGGGCGCGAGUGUUGUCCGGAUUUAUUGGGCGUAAAGAGCUCGUAGGCGGCUUGUCGCGUCGAAUGUGAAAACUCGGGGCUCAACUCCGAGCUUGCAUUCGAUACGGGCAGGCUAGAGUUCGGUAGGGGAGACUGGAAUUCCUGGUGUAGCGGUGAAAUGCGCAGAUAUCAGGAGGAACACCGGUGGCGAAGGCGGGUCUCUGGGCCGAUACUGACGCUGAGGAGCGAAAGCGUGGGGAGCGAACAGG
rnacentral:rRNA from 1 species